rnacentral:rRNA from 1 species
GAUGAACGCUGGCGGUAUGCUUAACACAUGCAAGUCGAACGGGGUUCAUAGUCACCUAGUGGCGGACGGGUGAGUAACGCGUGAGAAUCUGGCCUCAGGUCCGGGACAACCACGGGAAACGGUGGCUAAUACCGGAUGUGCCAUAUUGGUGAAAGAUUAAUUGCCUGAGGAUGAGCUCGCGUCUGAUUAGCUAGUUGGUGGGGUAAAGGCUUACCAAGGCGACGAUCAGUAACUGGUCUGAGAGGAUGACCAGUCACACUGGGACUGAGACACGGCCCAGACUCCUACGGGAGGCAGCAGUGGGGAAUUUUCCGCAAUGGGCGAAAGCCUGACGGAGCAAUACCGCGUGAGGGAGGAAGGCUCUUGGGUUGUAAACCUCUUUUCUCAGGGAAGAACAAUGACGGUACCUGAGGAAUCAGCAUCGGCUAACUCCGUG